rnacentral:rRNA from 1 species
AACGCUAGCUACAGGCUUAACACAUGCAAGUCGCGGGGUAACGAGAGGGAAGCUUGCUUUCCUUGUCGACGACCGGCGCACGGGUGAGUAACGCGUAUCCAACCUGCCCAUUACCACGGGAUACCCCGUCGAAAGGCGGCCUAAUACCGUAUGCAGUCGUCAGAUGACAUCAGAGGACGACGAAAGGAUUGGCGGUAAUGGAUGGGGAUGCGUCUGAUUAGGUAGUUGGAGGGGUAACGGCCCACCAAGCCAUCGAUCAGUAGGGGUUCUGAGAGGAAGGUCCCCCACAUUGGAACUGAGACACGGUCCAAACUCCUACGGGAGGCAGCAGUGAGGAAUAUUGGUCAAUGGGCGCGAGCCUGAACCAGCCAAGUAGCGUGAGGGAUGACGGCCCUAUGGGUUGUAAACCUCUUUUAUGCGGGAAUAAAAUGUUUGACGUGUCAUACAUUGUAGGUACCGCAAGAAUAAGGACCGGCUAAUUCCGUGCCUGCAGCCGCGGUAAUACGGAAGGUCCAGGCGUUAUCCGGAUUUAUUGGGUUUAAAGGGAGCGUAGGCCGUCUGUUAAGCGUGUUGUGAAAUGUAGAUGCUCAACAUCUGAAUUGCAGCGCGAACUGGCAGACUUGAGUGUGCGCAACGUAGGCGGAAUUCGUGGUGUAGCGGUGAAAUGCUUAGAUAUCACGAAGAACUCCGAUUG